UGUGUGGAUCGGACGCGUUAAAUAACUUCACAAGAACUCAGAACUGCCUCAACUGAACAAAAAAUGUGGUGCGUGUUUACCUACUAUAAGUAUGUAUGUUUGUUCCUGAGUGUGUGUACACAUUACGUUGCUGCGUAUUUAGUUUAAUUGGAUUUUUUCCACAUUUGUUGUUUUUUGCAUGGCCUUUCCUUUGCUGGCUUCCCAUUUUCCGCCUCGUCAGGAUUCUUUGGACUGGCUCGGGCUCUGGCUCUGGCUCUGGCCCUGCCCUCGUUGUUUCUUUUAAGGCGCUGCAUUUGCAUAAUGCGCAAUUAUUUAUAAAUGGCUCUGUCUCGCUCGCUGCAUUUGCUGCUCUCUCUCUCUCUCUCUUUCUCGCACUCACUCGUACCUGGCCAAGACUCCCCAGCCAGCGAUGUUAAUUAAAAAUUAUUGUAAUUUUUUAACGCGUUAUUAUGCUCGAGCACUCGGCCAUGACGCUGCUUUUAUUUAUUGAAAGUGCAAUUUUCUCCCACGGCAGAAAAAGCAAGAACCAACAUUCACACAAAUUUCAUUAACGCAGCCCAAAUAACGCCUCACUGCAUGCCAAAAGCUUUUCUACACUUAUCAGACUUUUCCUUUCCUUUUCCCAUGCAGGUCAUGCGAACGACAUAAAAAGGAAACCUCUACAAUGGUAUGAUAAGCCAAAACAAUGAAUACAAAUUCUAAACGGAUGAAGACUCGCAUAAGUGCCAUAUCUCGAAUUGGGAAUGCUACGUGGGGAAUUACGUUUCACUUGCGGCGAAAUAACUGGACGAGCGAGCGAUUUGGGGAUUAGGAGAAAGCGCAAGGAGAGGAGCUUGCGGAUGAAGACAGGCGGAAGCGUGUCAUAGUAGAUGACCAGGCAGGAGCACCAAAC
rnacentral:lncRNA from 1 species